GAUGAAGAACGUAGCGAAAUGCGAUAAGUAAUGUGAAUUGCAGAAUUCAGUGAAUCAUCGAAUCUUUGAACGCACAUUGUGCCCCUUGGUAUUCCGGGGGGCAUGCCUCUUCCAGCGUCAUUUCACCCCUCAAGCUCUGCUUGGUUUUGGGCCGCGCCGGCAACGGCGGGCCUCGAAAAUAGUGGCGACGCCAUCGUGCUCUCAGCGUAGUAAUUCUUCUCGCUGUUGGGUCCCGGUGGUCGUCCGCCAGCAACCCCCAACUUUCUUAAGUUUGACCUGGGAUGAGGUAGGGAUACCCGCUGAACUUAAGCAUAUCAAUAAGCGGAGGA
rnacentral:misc_RNA from 1 species